GGGCUGCAGUAUAUUGACUGUACAAAGGUAGCAUAAUCAUUAGUCAUUUAAUUGAUGACUUGUAUGAAAGAUUGGAUGAAAUAUAAACUGUCUCUUAAUUAAUUAUAGAAUUUAAUUUUUUAAUUAAAAAGUUAAAAUGAUUUAAAAAGACGAGAAGACCCUAUAGAGUUUAAUAUUUAAAUUAAUUAAGAUUAUUUAUAAAUUUAUUAAUUAAAAUUAUUUUAUUUAUUUUGUUGGGGUGACAAAAAAAUAUAAAUAACUUUUUUUAUUUAUUUACAUAUAUAAGUGAAUUAAUGAUCCAUUAUUAUUGAUUAUAAGAAAAAAUUACCUUAGGGAUAACAGCGUAAUUUUUUUUUUUAGUUCAAAUAAAAAAAAGAGUUUGCGACCUCGAUGUUGGAUUAAGAUAAAAUUUAAAUG
rnacentral:rRNA from 1 species